ACACCUGGAAGGGCUUUACCCACAGUCCUGCUGGGACAGGGAUUCUGCACCAGGCCACGCGGUGCCAGAGGCAGAAGCCACCCACCACCUAGUCUCAAGCCCCUGCAGAAACAAGAAGGCCUUGACUUCCAGGUUGUUCAAGUAAUUGUAGACUCUCAGAACACGUUUUCGUCCAGUCUGGACUAGUGGAGCCACUUCUCUCCACAGCAGCCUCCAAUCGUCGCCACUCUGAGCGGACCCCGUCCGUGGGUGGCACAUCGAGGCUGAGCUGGCAGCCCACCUGCUACCUUCGCAGACGUACUCAACUCACUCCGCGACCACUGCUUUACUUGGCUCUCGGUCUGGGAGAAGAGAAGCCAAGUACCUAAACAAGUUACAUCUCCUCCUUUCCCCAAGCAGGAUGCCGAGGCGCGGACCCACAGCACCGCCUCCCAUCACACUGCCAGGCUCUCCGAAACACUCCAUCCACAAUUCUGGAUGUCAGCCAGGCCCGGGGGCUGUUGGAAACCAACCUUGACCCAGAAAGCCCAGGCUCUGGUAGAACUGGAAGGGAAGGGUGGAGAGUGCGGGCCCCGAAACCACCAGAGUCUCUGUGGAACAUCCCUGGGCUUUUAUUUUAAUGCCAUUAGAAGAAAAGACAAGGUGCAAGUGUUAGGAGCCAAUGAACUGUCCCAUUUAUCUUGUAUAUAUUGUUGCGGAGAGUUCCAGAAGCCAGGAUGUUUAAGAACCUCUCUGAUUCAUGAGGGGUAACUCAAUCUUUAAGGGCUUUGGUUUCUUCUUAGAUAAAACAGAAGGUCAGAAUAAAUAAUCUCCCAGCGCUGGAA